ACUCCUACGGGAGGCAGCAGUGGGGAAUAUUGCACAAUGGGCGUAAGCCUGAUGCAGCAACGCCGCGUGAGGGACGACGGCCUUCGGGUUGUAAACCUCUUUUAGUAGGGAAGAAGCGAAAGUGACGGUACCUGCCGAAAAAGCACCGGCUAACUACGUGCCAGCAGCCGCGGUAAUACGUAGGGUGCAAGCGUUAUCCGGAAUUAUUGGGCGUAAAGAGCUCGUAGGCGGUUUGUCGCGUCUGCUGUGAAAACUGGAGGCUCAACCUCCAGCCUGCAGUGGGUACGGGCAGACUAGAGUGCGGUAGGGGAGAUUGGAAUUCCUGGUGUAGCGGUGGAAUGCGCAGAUAUCAGGAGGAACACCGAUGGCGAAGGCAGAUCUCUGGGCCGUAACUGACGCUGAGGAGCGAAAGCAUGGGGAGCGAACAGGAUUAGAUACCCUGGUAGUCCAUGCCGUAAACGUUGGGAACUAGAUGUAGGGGCCAUUCCACGGUCUCUGUGUCGCAGCUAACGCAUUAAGUUCCCCGCCUGGGGAGUACGGCCGCAAGGCUAAAACUCAAAGGAAUUGACGGGGGCCCGCACAAGCGGCGGAGCAUGCGGAUUAAUUCGAUGCAACGCGAAGAACCUUACCAAGGCUUGACAUAUUCCGGAAAAGUUCAGAAAUGUUCUCCCCGCAAGGUCGGUAUACAGGUGGUGCAUGGUUGUCGUCAGCUCGUGUCGUGAGAUGUUGGGUUAAGUCCCGCAACGAGCGCAACCCUCGUUCUAUGUUGCCAGCACGUAAUGGUGGGAACUCAUAGGAGACUGCCGGGGUCAACUCGGA
rnacentral:rRNA from 1 species